UCUUUAGCAUAUGGUGGGUAUACAAUAAGCAAGUACUAGCUGCGCGUGGCUUCAGUGCUCAUCUCCGAUCCAUUGACUCUGAAGCUAAUGGUGGGAAUACAAUCAGCAAAGACUAGCUGCGCGUGGCUCCAGUGCUCAUCUCCGGUCCAUUGACUUUGAAGCUAAUGGUGGAUAAAAAAUAAACAAAGACUAGCUGCGCGUGGCUUCAGUGCUCAUCUCCGAUCCAUUGACUUUGAAGCUAAUGGUGGAUAAAAAAUAAACAAAGACUAGCUGGGCGUGGCCUCAAUGCUCAUCUCCGAUCCAUUGACCCUUGAGCCGAUGGCCAGUACAGCCUACAACACACAGAGACUAACCAGAUGCUGCGCCCAAAGUCUCAAGCCGUGUGUUGCCUGCCCUACGCACUCCUCAGACUCAUAAGCUACGCACGCAAGCGGUCACCUACACGCCAACGUUCCUGGAAUACGUGACGACUUCUCAGGGUGACUAUUCCUUCCCUAAUAUUAUUUUCGUACCCUAGUUUUUAUUGUUUGUAUUCUAUUGGUGGUAUAUUUUCAUUAUUAUUUUAUAGGCCUGUAUAUUUUUUUUCAGUACAUCUUAUUGGUUUCAUUUUGUAUUAGUGUUUUUUUUUCCUCUCCCGGUUUGAUGUUUUAAUCGAAUGUGUUUUGAAUUUGUUUGAAUCGUUUAUAUUUUAACCCGACAGCUGCGAUUGGCACAGAUUUGGCCUUCACUGGUAGCCUGGUAACAUACACUCCAAGGUCCUUCUCUGCCUCUGUGGUGGAUAGUGGAGUGUUUCCCAUGUGGUAUUGGUGUGCUGGAUAUCCCUUCACUAUUAGCCUGGUAACAUACACUCCAAGGUCUUUCUCUGCCUCUGUGGUGGAUAGUGGAGUGUUUCCCAUGUGGUAUUGGUGUGCUGGAUAUCCCUUCACUGGUAGCCUGGUAACAUACACUCCAAGGUCUUUCUCUGCCUCUGUGGUGGAUAGUGGAGUGUUUCCCAUGUGGUAUUGGUGUGCUGGAUAUCCCUUCACUGGUAGCCUGGUAACAUACACUCCAAGGUCUUUCUCUGCCUCUGUGGUGGAUAGUGGAGUGUUUCCCAUGUGGUAUUGGUGUGCUGGAUAUCCCUUCACUGGUAGCCUGGUAACAUACACUCCAAGGUCUUUCUCUGCCUCUGUGGUGGAUAGUGGAGUGUUUCCCAUGUGGUAUUGGUGUGCUGGAUAUCCCUUCACUGGUAGCCUGGUAACAUACACUCCAAGGUCUUUCUCUGCCUCUGUGGUGGAUAGUGGAGUGUUUCCCAUGUGGUAUUGGUGUGCUGGAUAUCCCUUCACUGGUAGCCUGGUAACAUACACUCCAAGGUCUUUCUCUGCCUCUGUGGUGGAUAGUGGAGUGUUUCCCAUGUGGUAUUGGUGUGCUGGAUAUCCCUUCACUGGUAGCCUGGUAACAUACACUCCAAGGUCUUUCUCUGCCUCUGUGGUGGAUAGUGGAGUGUUUCCCAUGUGGUAUUGGUGUGCUGGAUAUCCCUUCACUGGUAGCC